rnacentral:rRNA from 1 species
GCGGUGAGAGGAGAAAGGCGGCGGAAGUGCGAGCGAAGGAGGAGGUAGGAGGGCGCAGUCAGCGUGGGGGAGGAGGGGAGGGCGUAGAGCAGGUGGGACCCUAGGUCGCUCCAGCCCAGGAGCUCGGUACCUCCGUGAACAGCGACCCGGGAGCGGCAACCGGAGGGCACGCAGCGUGGCGGAGGAGGGCGGAGCCGAGAGUGGAGGUCGACGUCGAGAUCUCCUCUCCUCUUCUGUCACUGUCUCUCUACCGACGCAACCGCGACCGCCGGGGCGGGAGCGGAAAAGGAGGAGGAGCGGAAGGGUAGCGAGUACGCGUUCAGCUGGCUGCCGUCCCUACCAGUCCUUCCAAAGGGUCGGGCUGUCACGGCAGUACCCUCAACGUCCCUCCUCCACUCCUACGCAGCGCGCGCCUAACCUAGCUCCCACGGUACGGCGGCGGUGCUCAGUUGAGGUGACAACAGUGGUCCUUAGGCAGGGGUCGUUCCUCCUCGUCUUCCCCGGUUCCUACUCCUCCUUCCUCUGAUCGUCCUCCUCCUCUAUAAGAACAAGCUAAACCAAGAGUGCGACCGUAGAGGGACGACAGACGAAAGGAAAAUCAAAGGUUGAAACUACGAACCUAAACAACUGAACCGGUCGUCCUCACCCUCCUCUGUCCCUCCUACUCCUUCCUCUGUUCGUUCUCCUUCUCUUUUAGAACGAGCGGAAUACCUGAGCGUUAUUUGUUCAGGUGUCCUUUUUAAGGACUUGCUAAAACCAUAGGGGUCUAAAAAGAAGGGGCGCUACUCUAAACGUCUCUAGUCGCUCCUAAACACGCCGUCCCUCCCGUGACCACUAUCCUUUGUACCCAGGUUCUUCAUUAGUUUCUCGUACUAGCAAAGUUCCAACGACGACGAUUUAGUACAUUCCUACCGCGUUUUGAGUGUACUCCCUUUUCUGCUUGACGCCAUUGGUUUAGUUGUCGACUAUUCCGUUAACCAACCCGAUGUACUAUCUGUGAAAUUAUAUAGAAGAACCUUCGGCGAAUCACAAGGUUACUUAUUAACAGCGACCACACCACGUGCAGAAGUAACAAACCACCCGACGAAGGACGGACCACACCAACUUCUUAAAAGUCUCCACAUACUUUAUUUAGACUUCUUUUAUUCAUUCAGCGGAAGUAGUCGCUCCGACGCUUGUUGAGCACCACGGGGACAAUUGGAGGAGUUACAAACGCAACAAACGGACAGCCAGUUUAAGGGUGAUAAGUCGUCUGUCUAUGUCACAGGUCUAGCAAAUCCUUGGUCGCAAUGAAGUUUUUUUCUAUCCUGGACUAUGUGUAAUGUAAGUACCUGAUGACUAUAUGGACUACGUAAAGAAGUACUACCCGUCCUUCGUUUAGAAUACGUACUCCCUCAUCUAGAACGUUAACUUCAGUAUAGAGGACGUCUCCUCCUCGUUGCUACCCCACCUUCGAUGUCCCACUCACUCUCUCACGUCUUCCUCCCCUACCUAUUCCAGUACAGCAGUCGUUCUUCACCUACGAUAGUUCUAGUACGGUUUCCGCUACGAGUAAGGGCAAGAAUCACUCUACCCAAAUGAGCUACGUUUCAUACUCGUAACGUCUGAGACCGCUCGACGACUUCCAGCUGCUCCUCCCGUUGCGGCGGUGGCAGUAGUCCGACCAGGUGUAGGUGCGCGACGAGCCGCAGUGGUCCAGUGACCGUGUUGAGGCGUACGGGUCCGACAAGUUGUAAAAGAAAGCGAAAACCACACAGUGUAAAUCUCAGAAAGAAAGGGUAAAAUGGUACAAACGUACCAUUCUACAAAACAACCUAAACUUCCAAGCAUCGGAACCGAGGUUUCGAAGUUCGAGAACGUAUUAUCACAACAAGUCACCCUACGUCUUAAAAACAAACAGACUAGCCGAUAGGAACCACGACUAAAUGCAUGACUAAAGUAGUAGUAUAUAUUGAUGUUAUUUCUUCGACACACGUAUUUAUAAUGAUUGACGACUAUGAAACGUAGUCACUAAAGUUAAGACAACCGGG